rnacentral:rRNA from 1 species
AGCAUAUAUCUAAGCGGAGGAAAAGAAUCUCCCANGNUUUCCNCCAGUAACGGCGAGUGAAGCGGGAAGAGCUCACGGUUUGAAUCUGGNCCUCGGGCCCGAAUUGUAGCCUGGCGAGGCGAGSCCUGCCGCUGUCCGCGACCAAGUCUGAUUGGAAAUGAGCAUCACGGAGGGUGAUAAUCCCGUUCAUGCCKCGGUACCGACCAGCGCGCAGCAGKCCCGUUUUCCACGAGUCGAGUUGCUUGGGAUUGCAGCUCAAAGAGGGUGGUAAACCCCAUCCAAAGCUAAACACGGGGGGGAGACCGAUAGCGAACAAGUACCGUGAGGNAAAGAUGCAAAGAACUUUGAAAAGAGAGUUAAAGAGUGCCUGAAAUUGCUGGAAGGGAAGCGAAGGAAAGAGGUGUGCGGUUGCCGGGGCGCCGACCCCCAUCUGCCGAUCUUCGGUGUGGGGGUAGGCCGCCCCGCCGCGGUCAGAGGAAGCGCCGGGCUCGCGAGAGGACCCACGCGGGAUCGGUAGCCCCCCCCUCCUCGGAGGAGGGGGUGUCAGGCCCGCGAGCUUGCGGCGUCGCGAGCCCCGGCCCCUUGCUGGCGGUCGCGGCUUUUCUUCACCCCGUCUUGAAACACGGACCAAGGAGUCUAGCGUGGACGCGAGUAAAGGGGUGUGGAAACCCCCUUGCGCAAUGAAGGUGAACAUUGGUGGGAGGCCUCGGCCAGCACCAUCGACCGAGCGUGUUCCCCCGGGGGCAGGGCUUGAGUGUGAGCAUCCAUGCUGGGACCCGAAAGAUGGUGAACUAUGCUUGAAUAGGGCGAAGCCAGGGGAAACUCUGGUGGAGGCUCGUAGCGAUUCUGACGUGCAAAUCGAUCGUGAGAUUUGGGUAUAGGGGCGAAAGACUAAUCGAACCAUCUAGUAGCUGGUUCCCUCCGAAAUUUCCCUCAGGAUAGCAGCGGCCGUUGAGCAGUUUUAUCAGGUAAAGCGAAUGACUAGAGGCUGCGGGGGAGUAACUCCCUCGCCCUAUUCUCAAACUUUAAAUGGGUAAGGAGCCGGGGUCGCUUGGUUGGACCCUCGGCAUGGAAUGCCUGGUCGUUAGUGGGCCAGUCCGGGUAAGCUGGACUGGCGAUGCGGGAUGAACCGAACGCCUAGAUGAAGCGCCUCACUGC